GACGAAGGAUGCAAGCGUUAUCCGGAUUCAUUGGGUUUAAAGGGAGCGUAGGUGGCCUUAUAAGUCAGUGGUGAAAUCUCUGGGCUUAACCCAGAAAUUGCCAUUGAUACUGUAGGGCUUGAGUAUAGUUGCCGUUGGCGGAAUAUGACAUGUAGUGGUGAAAUACAUAGAGAUGUCAUAGAACACCGAUUGCGAAGGCAGCUAACGAAACUAUAACUGACACUGAGGCACGGAAGCGUGGGGAGCAAACAGG
rnacentral:rRNA from 1 species